CACGAAGUUAGCCGGGGCUUCUUCUCCGACUACCGUCAUUAUCUUCAUCGGUGAAAAGAGCUUUACAACCCCUAAGGCCUUCAUCACUCACGCGGCAUGGCUGGAUCAGGCUUGCGCCCAUUGUCCAAUAUUCCCCACUGCUGCCUCCCGUAGGAGUCUGGGCCGUGUCUCAGUCCCAGUGUGGCUGAUCAUCCUCUCAGACCAGCUAAAGAUCGUCGCCUUGGUGAGCCAUUACCUCACCAACUAGCUAAUCUUACGCGGGCUCAUCUAAUUCCGAUAAAUCUUUCCCCCUUAGGGCGUAUACGGUAUUAGCAGUCGUUUCCAACUGUUGUUCCGUAGAACUAGGUAGAUUCCCACGCGUUACUCACCCGUCUGCCACUGCCUCCGAAGAGACCGUUCGACUUGCAUGUGUUAAGCCUGCCGCCAGCGUUCGUUCUGAGUCCAGGAGUCA
rnacentral:rRNA from 1 species